AUUCGUCCAAUUGAAGCAGAGGACAGUGGCGGACGGGUGAGUAACGCGUGAGGAACCUGCCUUCAGGAUGGGGACAACAGACGGAAACGACUGCUAAUACCGAAUAAGUUCCAAGAGCCGCAUGGCCCAUGGAAGAAAAGGUGGCCUCUACCUGUAAGCUAUCGCCUGAAGAGGGGUUUGCGUCUGAUUAGCUGGUUGGAGGGGUAACGGCCCACCUAGUCUUCGAUGGAUAGGGGUUCUGAGAGGAAGGUCCCCCACAUUGGAACUGAGACACGGUCCAAACUCC
rnacentral:rRNA from 1 species